rnacentral:lncRNA from 1 species
CAACACUAACAUCAACUACAUUUCUUAUUACACUGUGGCUGGAACCACACUUCCCUAUACACAGUGCAACACUGACACCAACUCUGUUUCUUAUUGCUCUGUGACUGGGAACCUUCUGGACCUGUGCUCCAAGGAAUGGCGUUCGGAGACGGUUGGAGGAAGAGGCAGCCCUGACAGAAGGCUACAGACUGAAUACAUAGGUACCAGCAGAUACUGCAUACAAACCUGGUAUACCUUGCUACCAUAGCAGACUCCAAUCAAAAUAUGCAGUCUCUCCUACCGGCGCCGCCUACACAGAAUGUGCCUAUGGGUCCUGGAGGGAUGAGUCAGAGUGGCCCUCCACCCCCUCCCCGCUCUCACAGCAUGCCUUCAGAUGGAAUGGUGGGUGGGGGCCCUCCUGCACCACACAUGCAGAACCAGAUGAACGGCCAGAUGCCUGGGCCUAACCAUAUGCCAAUGCAGGGACCUGGACCCAGUCAGCUCAGCAUGACGAACAGCUCCAUGAAUAUGCCUUCGAGUAGCCACGGCUCCAUGGGAGGCUACAACCAUUCUGUGCCAUCGUCCCAGAGCAUGCCCGUGCAGAACCAGAUGACAAUGAGUCAGGGGCAGCCAAUGGGAAACUAUGGUCCCAGACCAAACAUGAAUAUGCAACCAAAUCAAGGUAACUGCCUGCAGCACUCCUGCCCCUCUCUU